rnacentral:rRNA from 1 species
GGCUGGAAUCUCUCGGGGUUACAGCCUUGCUGAAUUAUUCACCCUUGUCUUUUGCGUACUUCUUGUUUCCUUGGUGGGUUCGCCCACCACUAGGACAAACAUAAACCUUUUGUAAUUGCAAUCAGCGUCAGUAACAAAUUAAUAAUUACAACUUUCAACAACGGAUCUCUUGGUUCUGGCAUCGAUGAAGAACGCAGCGAAAUGCGAUAAGUAGUGUGAAUUGCAGAAUUCAGUGAAUCAUCGAAUCUUUGAACGCACAUUGCGCCCUUUGGUAUUCCAAAGGGCAUGCCUGUUCGAGCGUCAUUUGUACCCUCAAGCUUUGCUUGGUGUUGGGCGUCUUGUCUCUAGCUUUGCUGGAGACUCGCCUUAAAGUAAUUGGCAGCCGGCCUACUGGUUUCGGAGCGCAGCACAAGUCGCACUCUCUAUCAGCAAAGGUCUAGCAUCCAUUAAGCCUUUUUUUCAACUUUUGACCUCGGAUCAGGUAGGGAUACCCGCUGAACUUAAGCAUAUCAAUAAGCCGGAGGA